rnacentral:misc_RNA from 1 species
GAUGAAGAACGCAGCGAAAUGCGAUAAGUAAUGUGAAUUGCAGAAUUCAGUGAAUCAUCGAAUCUUUGAACGCACAUUGCGCCCGCCAGUAUUCUGGCGGGCAUGCCUGUUCGAGCGUCAUUACAACCCUCAGGCCCCCGGGCCUGGCGUUGGGGAUCGGCGGAGCCCCCCGUGGGCACACGCCGUCCCCCAAAUGCAGUGGCGGUCCCGCCGCAGCUUCCAUCGCGUAGUAGCUAACACCUCGCGACUGGAGAGCGGCGCGGCCACGCCGUAAAACACCCAACUCUUCUGAAGUUGACCUCGAAUCAGGUAGGAAUACCCGCUGAACUUAAGCAUAUCGAUAAGCGGAGGA